UUACAUUUUGUGAUGACUAGAAAAUAAACACCAACAUAUAAAGUAGUAGCAUAAAACUCUCGUGGUAAUAAUGUCUGGAAUACACUCAAAGUCUCUAUAACACCAUACUAUUCACAAACAAAAACAUUUUUGCUUCUUAAUAAAACUUCCGAAAAACAUACAAAUACAAUUAAAAAAACCUUACAUGUUUGCUAUCGUUGUGACAAAAGGCACCAAUCUUCUGUAAUCUCUUCUUCCCAGAGCACAGCUAUCAAGAACUCGUCCCAAUAUCAGCCUUGUGUUCUGCAAAGCCACAUCUCUCGGAGGUAUCCCUGAUUCUCCUGCAGCCGAUAUUUUCGUUUUUAAAAUUUAUAAACCUUCUUUACUCUAUUGGUUAUUUGAAAAAAUAAAGAAAAAGGAAACCUAAAUAAAAAAAGAAAAAAAAAAUAGAAUAAAUAUUUAAUAAUAAUAAUUAGAUUUAUUUGAUUCAUUAAAGGUAUCAUUGUAAUCAACCACUAUGAGAGUUAAUGUAAGCAUGCCACGUAUGAAACUGACUUCUCAAAUAAUAUUAUAGAGAUAUAGAUAUAAGAAAGCAAUCAUAAAACCCAUAUGUAACCCUAGCACCGGUAAGUCCAUAACUUUACCAAGAGUAGUCAGGAUCUUUACAAGUUUCUUCGGGUAUGAUCCAGUUAAUGAUCAUUACAAAAUAUUACUCAUGACGAAAAACCAGCCUGACGGUCAGGAAUCACCAUUAUCUGAAUAUCAAGUACUCACAUUGGGAGCUGAACAGUCUUCUUGGAGAAUGAUAGAAUGUAGCAUUCCCCACAGUUUUCACUCUAGCCGUCAUGUGUGUAUAGAUGGUGUUGUUUACUAUGCUGUUAGAACAGGCGCUGACUUGUCCCAACGGAGCUUGACGAAAUUCGAUUUGAGGUAUGAAACUUUGGAUCUUAUAACUUGUUUACCCGCAGACAUGCCAAGUACUCCACGUAGUUUGAUAAACUACGAGGGGAAAGUAGCCAUACCCACUAAUACUAGCGGAAACACAUUUAAUGUGUGGGUUAUAGAUCAGGCUGCUCCAAAACAUGGAUGGUUGAAGAAAAGUUUUAGUAUCGAAUCUUGGAGAAGAUCACCAAAGUUACGCAUAUAUGGCUCUACUCACACGGGUGAGUUUGUUUUGGCACCAAGGUACUAUUCUGAUGACUUUAAUGUUAUAAUUUACAAUCCUGACACGAAUGGUUUGAGAAAAAUUAAGGUUGAGGUUAACGGAGACUAUGAGUUCAAGCUUGGUCAUUAUCGUACGAGAGCAAUGGUUUAUUCAGAGUAUGUUGAGAGCAUUAGGUUGUUGUAAGAGAGACAGUUUUCAUAGUUUGCGUUUAUUUAAUUAAUUUAAUGUUUGCGUUGAUUAUGCUUUUAUUCCAUAAACUUGUUUGAUUCAUCCGCUAGAAUGCUAGGUAUAGUCUCCUAUAUAUCACGAGUUAUGACCAGUUGUUUUCGUUUUCUGCUAUGUCGUUCUCGUUGGCAUUAGCUAUCGUUUAUGCCUACCUUAGUAACAUACAAUAUAUGUUUUUAUAUGAAUAACUAUUUGAUACUUUAUACUGUUUAGUGCUUUUCUUAAAUAAUUUAGGUUUAUUUAAAUAAACUGUAGUAAUAUGUUUUUAACAUUAACUGUAGCAAUAUGUUAUAGUAGUAAAAAAAUAUGUUGUAGUAAUUUGUAAUACUGCUUCAAUGAAAAUAGAACUUGAGAAUUACAUGAGCCAAGAAAACCAGCACCACAGUUUAUAUGUAAACGGUUUCAUAAGCAUCGAUCAUGGUCAAAAGAAUUUCAUAACUAAUCCCACUACCGGUAAGUCCAUAGCUAGAGUCGGAACCACGAGACUGGUCGAGAAAAGUAUGAUUGGAUAUGAUUCAGUUAAUGAUCAGUACAAAUAAAUAUUAUACAUUACGAAAUUCGAUUUGAGGUAUGAAACUUUGGAUCUUUUAUCAUCUUAUCCACAGACAUACCAAGUGGACCAGUUGGCUCAUUAAUAAACUACGAGGGUAGAGUAGCCGUGUCCUUUCAAACUUCAACACACACUACAGUUAAAGUGUGGGUUGUAAUGGAUCAUGGAUGGUUGAAAAGAAGGUCUAAAUGAACAUUGUAAGAGACCAUCUUAGACAUAAUAAUUUACUAGAAAUUGAUUAAUUUACCUGCGCGGUUAUUAGUUUUUACAUUUUUAUACAUUGAUAUUUGUAUUUCAUAAUUAAUUGUAUAUUUUAAUGAUUCAUAAUAUAAUUAAUUAUAUUCAAAAAACAUGGACCGAAUCGGAUAAUAUGAUUAUUUUUGGUACAAAUAUCCGAACCGUUUCAAAUACAUUUGUUAUUUAGAUAUUUUUAGGUUUCUAUACAUCAGAACCGAACUCAUCCAGAAUCAGAAAGUACACAACUCAAAAUCCACACAUAAAUUUAAAAUAUUCAAGUGGGGCUUAAUUUCAAAAAAAAAAGAUACAAAAAAAAACAACCCGUACCUAAAUGGAUACCUAAUGUUCAUGCGUAACUGAUUUUACAAAAUAAUAAAAAUGACUUGUUCUAUGUGUUUGCCUAAAUUAAGUGAAACAGAAAAAGUUUUUUAUUUAGUAAAAAUUAAGUGACAAUAAAUGUAAUACAUUAAUAAAUGUAAUACAUUUUUAAUAUUUUGAUUUAAGUUAUUAUUUUAUUCACAAAACAUGUCUUUGAAUUAUGUUUUUGACUACGUAAUUUUCUACCGAUUGAAACUAAAAGUAAAAAAAAACUAAACAGAACGUUUAACCAUAUGCAAAACCCAUUUAUUUAACAUUUUGAUUUUAUAAUGGACACAAAGUUAAUGUGAUUAACUAAUAAAUAAAAAUCUGCACUAUUAUUAUUAUGAUAAUAUAAUUAAUGAUGUGAUGUGUUGUUAAAAUAAUAUAAUUAAUAAAAUUGUUAAACUGAGUGAAAUAUGAAAAAACAAUUAAUGUAAUUAUAUUAAUGAAAUUACUAAAAAUAUACUAUACUUUUUUAUACUGCUAUCCAUAUUUUCAAUCAAUUUUUAUUUAUACGGUUAUUCAUGUUUUCAAACAAUACCAAAAGAUACUCCGAUUUAAUAAUAUAGAUACCCAGGCGGGUGAAUUUAUUUUGACACCAAGGUUUUGUUCUCCUGUGUAUAUUGUUGGGUCUUUUUUUUACAAUGCCGACAACACGAAUGGUUUUAGAACCAUUAAAGUUGAACUAAGCAAAGACUAUGAGCUCAAGGCUCAAGCGUUGGUGUUUAAGGAGAGUAUUUGUUUUCCCGGAUUAUGUAUGUAGAGAGUGUUAGCUAGGUUUUUGUAGGAGAGGCAGUCUUCAUGGAAUGAUACCAAGUCUUUUAAAAUGUUUGCGUUGAUUAAAAUUUACUAAGAAAUAAUAUCUUUUUAGUCUUGCCUGCUAAUAUCUUUUUAGUCUUGCCUGCUUUGUCUCCUAUCUAAAAUUUUCAUUUCUAAACUUCAUCUAACGAUGAAAUAUUAAUUGAAAAGAUAAAAAUAUGUUACAUUUUGUGAUGACUAGAAAAUAAACACCAACAUAUAAAGUAGUAGCAUAAAACUCUCGUGGUAAUAAUGUCUGGAAUACACUUGGUCUCUAUAACACCAAACUAUUCACAAACAAAAUCAUUUUUGCUUCUUAAUAAAACUUCCGAAAAGCAUACAAAUACAACUAAAAAACCUUACAUGUUUGCGAUCGUUGUGACAAAAGGCACCAAUCUUCUGUAAUCUCUUCUUCCCAGAGCACAGCUAUCAAGAACUCGUCCCAAUAUCAGCCUUGUGUUCUGCAAAGCCACAUCUCUCGGAGGUAUCCCUGAUUCUCCUGCAGCUGCUCCGAGAGGAAAAGCCUGCGACAUUGUUGCCGCCAUCAUUGUGUACUGGAGAGGUCCGCUUCGAGCUUUGAACGAAGUCUGAGGUACAAGCGUUUUCUCAUGAUCAGUCCCGUUCUCAAAG
rnacentral:lncRNA from 1 species